UACGAAGGGGGCUAGCGUUGCUCGGAAUCACUGGGCGUAAAGCGCACGUAGGCGGCUUGUUAAGUCAGGGGUGAAAUCCCAGGGCUCAACCCUGGAACUGCCUUUAAUACUGGCAAUCUCGAGUCCGAGAGAGGUGAGUGGAAUUCCGAGUGUAGAGGUGAAAUUCGUAGAUAUUCGGAGGAACACCAGUGGCGAAAGCGGCUCACUGGCUCGGUACUGACGCUGAGGUGCGAAAGCGUGGGUAGCAAACAGG
rnacentral:rRNA from 1 species